rnacentral:rRNA from 1 species
UCUUCGGAUGUUAGCGGCGGACGGGUGAGUAACGCGUGGGAAUAUGCCCUUCUCUGCGGAAUAGCCUCGGGAAACUGAGAGUAAUACCGCAUACGCCCUUUGGGGGAAAGAUUUAUCGGAGAAGGAUUAGCCCGCGUUGGAUUAGGUAGUUGGUGGGGUAAUGGCCUACCAAGCCUACGAUCCAUAGCUGGUUUGAGAGGAUGAUCAGCCACACUGGGACUGAGACACGGCCCAGACUCCUACGGGAGGCAGCAGUGGGGAAUCUUAGACAAUGGGGGAAACCCUGAUCUAGCCAUGCCGCGUGAGCGAUGAAGGCCUUAGGGUUGUAAAGCUCUUUCACCGGGGAAGAUAAUGACGGUACCCGGAGAAGAAGCCCCGGCUAACUCCGUG